rnacentral:lncRNA from 1 species
CUUUCAUGGGAAGCCCCCCUUGGUUCACACGCAGUGUGGAGGCGGUAGGGGCCGAGGAAUACGGGUUAUUCCUGGACGGUCUUCCUCAGCUGUCGGCUCGCCCUCUCUUCGACCGCUAUGCGUGUUGGCAAGAGCGGUGCGUUCUGCCCUCGUGGUUGGACACCACGUUGAGAUGGGGCCAUCCCAUACAGUUCAAGCGUCAUCCCCCACCCUUUAUGGGGUUGGUGGAGACCACACUACGGGACCCGGCUGCGAGCACGGCUCUGGCAGCAGAGGUGGCCCGUCUCUUGGUGAAGGGGGCCAUCACUGUCGUUCCCCCCCACGAGUCUCACCUUUGGUUUUAUUCCUGCUACUUCCUGGUUUCCAAGAAGUCAGGGGAAAAGAGACCUAUUCUGGAUCUUCGCGUGUUCAACAGAUUCGUUGCCACGAGGAAGUUCAGAAUGCUCACUGUCGGAUCGUUGUUCCGGUGUGUGAGAGAGUGUGAUUGGUUCACAUCCCUGGAUCUCAAGGAUGCUUACUUCCACGUCCCUGUUCGGCAGGCGCACAGGAAGUCUCUCCGCUUUGCCUUUAUGGGGAUGGCGUACGAGUACCAGUGUCUGCCGUUCGGCUACUCCCUGGCUCCGCGCACCUUCUCAAAGUGUGUGGAGACGGCGUUGGAACCGCCCAGGUGUCAGGGAAAGAGGAUUCUCUUCUACCUAGAUGACCUGCUUAUUCUGAGCAACUCAGAGGAGACCGCGAGAAGGGACACCAUGUUGGUGAUAAACCACCUCUCCUUCCUGGGUUUUGCCAUCAACUGGGAGAAGAGCUCCCCGCUCCCCAGCCGGCAGACAGUCUACUUGGGGCUUUGCCUAGACUCAGCCAUGAAUGCAAUGCUUUCGCCUCCUUGGCGAGACGCCAUCCUGUCGGCGCUCUCCCGUUUUCGUGUUCGCAGAAACGUGACCGCACUGUCCACCACGCGCCUGUUAGGGCUGAUGGCAGCUGCCCGGCCCGUGGUCCCCCUGGGUCUGCUUUUUAUGCGCAGACUCCAGUGGUGGAUUGCUCGCCAACGGUUGGACCCCAGGUGACACAAGCUCAGGGUGCUCCUCGUUCCCCGUUCGGUGUCGCCAGACCUGGAAU